rnacentral:rRNA from 1 species
GACGAACGCUGGCGGCGUGCUUAACACAUGCAAGUCGAACGGAAAGGCCCUGCUUUUGUGGGGUACUCGAGUGGCGAACGGGUGAGUAACACGUGAGUAACCUGCCCUUGACUUUGGGAUAACUUCAGGAAACUGGGGCUAAUACCGGAUAGGAGCUCCUGCUGCAUGGUGGGGGUUGGAAAGUUUCGGCGGUUGGGGAUGGACUCGCGGCUUAUCAGCUUGUUGGUGGGGUAGUGGCUUACCAAGGCUUUGACGGGUAGCCGGCCUGAGAGGGUGACCGGCCACAUUGGGACUGAGAUACGGCCCAGACCCCUACGGGAGGCAGCAGUGGGGAAUAUUGCACAAUGGGCGGAAGCCUGAUGCAGCAACGCCGCGUGCGGGAUGACGGCCUUCGGGUUGUAAACCGCUUUCGCCUGUGACGAAGCGUGAGUGACGGUAAUGGGUAAAGAAGCACCGGCUAACUACGUG